UACGAAGGGGGCUAGCGUUGCUCGGAAUGACUGGGCGUAAAGGGCGCGUAGGCGGCUUGCACAGUCAGGCGUGAAAUUCCUGGGCUCAACCUGGGGACUGCGCUUGAGCGCGUGGUGGCUUGAGUGGGGAAGAGGGUCGUGGAAUUCCCAGUGUAGAGGUGAAAUUCGUAGAUAUUGGGUGGAACACCGGUGGCGAAGGCGGCGACCUGGUCCUUGACUGACGCUGAGGCGCGAAAGCGUGGGGAGCAAACAGG
rnacentral:rRNA from 1 species